ensembl:lncRNA
UGAAGUAAACCCUGAGUAAACACAGUGAAGAGUAAACACAGUGAAGAGUAAACACAGUGAAGAGUAAACCUGAAGUAACCCCUGAGUAAACACAGUGAAGAGUAAACACAGUGAAGAGUAAACCCUGAGUAAACACAGUGAAGAGUAAACACAGUGAAGAAGACACCCUGAGUAAACACAGUGAAGAGUAAACACAGUGAAGAGUAAACACAGUGAAGAGUAAACCCUGAGUAAACACAGUGAAGAGUAAACACAGUGAAGAGUAAACACAGUGAAGAGUAAACACAGUGAAGAGUAAACCCUGAGUAAACACAGUGAAGAGUAAACACAGUGAAGAGUAAACACAGUGAAGAGUAAACACAGUGAAUGGAAACACGAUGAAGGUGUUGGGUUUCGCUGCAGGAAUAAAAAGCAAGUGCGACAGUCAGGGUCUCCAGAAGAACCGUGUCUGAGGAUGCUCAGUAACAUGUGCAGCUCAUUUCCUUAUUAAGCUGCACACACUGUACCUGAGGAUACAGAUGUUGCUUUCAAAAAGCAAAGAGUCGUCACACCAAAUUUUCAGGUUGUUUACUUUAGUACCGUUGACUCCUAUUUAUCGUACCUCUGUAACGUAGAAACAUUUCAUUUCAUUAUUUCUGGAGGCGUCUUUGCUCUACAGCGUUCCUUUGCAUGAACUGUAUAUACACACUGUGCAUUUAGAAUUGAUUUAAAAUUGAUUUAGAGAUUCUGCUUCCUUUUGUUUUUUCUUGCUUGUUGACCUGAGUGGCACACGGGUCAUGUUCCGUUAGUCAUGUGACUCUUCUUAUUCCGGAG